GUCCUAAGGGUUUGGGAAGAGAGAAUAAAUUAAAGAGAUUAUUUUCUUCUCCAUCUUUCUUCCUCCUCUUCAUCUCCUCCAGAAGUCCAUGUUCAAUCUUUGAAAAGGUUCUAAAGAUUUGAAGAAAGGAUCCAAAUCAACCAAGAAGAAGGUCUUCAUGCAAAUUAGCAUUCUCGAGAAGGCUAAUCAGAUCAGGACUUCGAGUGGACUUUCUGUAG
rnacentral:lncRNA from 1 species